UACGUAGGGGGCAAGCGUUGUCCGGAUUUAUUGGGCGUAAAGAGCGUGUAGGCGGCCAUGCAGGUCCGUUGUGAAAACUCGAGGCUCAACCUCGAGACGCCGGUGGAAACCGUGUGGCUAGAGUCCGGAAGAGGAGAGUGGAAUUCCUGGUGUAGCGGUGAAAUGCGCAGAUAUCAGGAGGAACACCGGUGGCGAAGGCGGCUCUCUGGACCUGUCCUGACGCUCAGGCGCGAAAGCUAGGGGAGCAAACAGGG
rnacentral:rRNA from 1 species